rnacentral:lncRNA from 1 species
AUUGGGGGAUGUCGUUGCACAAAUGGAACUGCAACCGGGCAGUGUAUUUCCUCCCUACAUCUUACGGCGAUAAAUUACCUGGCUACCACAAUGGUGACUUUAACUCCUGCGAUAUUCCUCCUCAGACCAUAACCGAACCACCCCUAAACAUGUCACUCUCAAAAACGCAAGCGUCGUCAAAGCGUUUCCGACGACGUUGGUAUAGACGACGUCGAUCGUCCGGACCAAGAAAUCUGUGAAAACGACCCGUCUCUAUUGCUUCAUUGGAAACGUCUGGUUGCAUGUGUCGCCAACCAAACCAUACGGCGUGCACGAGUGAGAGGCAGACGUACGUAAGAACGAUCUGCUUGGAGACCAAUCUCGCGCAGUCGGUACCUUACAGUUUGGGGUUGAAGGUGGUGAUUAUGAUGCCUACCGUAUUAAUAGCUGUUUCAGUAGCAGUAACGUGGCGAUUACGCGCACAGGUGAGCGAGACGAAUAGCUAUCUCUUGACGUCGCGUCGUUACGCGAGGAGGUCCCGAUCGCGGUCUGUCGGCAACCCUUCCGGUGUCUCUCAGACGACAGACAAGUCGUUCUAUGGUGGAAACAUUCACACCGAACUGCAUAGCAACCUGUUGUUGCCUUUGACCUGUCAUUAGCAAUGCAAUAGCCUGGCCCCUCUGAACUUCCGUCAGCACAGUGAUCGAUAUACUCGUCUGACUGGUUUUAAUAAUUGUAGGCCAAGCAGUUAAAUAAAUGUUGCAUAUUGUGUUAACCUGCGUUUCUUGCUCCUUUCAGUUUGUAAAGUACAGGUUUUGAGAUUUCCCCUGAAAACAUACCAAUUUAAGCAAAUCUUAUAUCUAAAUUUUCGCUUAAUUAAAAGAAAAUACAUUUAUGUGAAUUUAUUGGUAAAUAUAUUGAAUACCACCUUUCUUUACCUUAACUUUAAUACAUGAAUGUGUCUGUGUGUAAAAAUUAUCAUCGAAAGACAAAUUUCUAAUUUCAAUACCAUGCAAAGUCUGACCAAUCACGUUAGCGGUACGUCAUUUCAUCGGAUACCUAAGAUAAAGAAGCGACAUCAUGCACUUUAUGGUCGAGAUAUUCGUUAGCAUGAGAAAACAAGGUAAUCAAUGAGCCGAGAAUAAUUACUUUUACGUACACAGUAAAACCAUCUUAUAUUGCUUCUAUUUACAUAAAUUUGUCUGAUUAUCAUCGUUCUGAAUAAAAAUAAAAAUGGAACAUUGAAAACUGUUUGUGUCUAGCUGUAAAAGUAGAAUGACAUUGAAUCGAGAGGCUUGUGAUAUUAAUGUACCUACAUGGAUAUGUACGUCAAUGUGAAUACAAUAAAACAUCAAGACAUAGGCUUUUUUUGCUAUUUCAGAAAAGGUGGGAGACAACGCGACUGUACAUGUCUUUGAGGAUCGAUGUUAUCUGUUCGUGAGACAGAGUUUGAACUGGUCCAACGCUCAGGACAGGUGUCAAUUGGUGGGAGCGAACCUUGUAUCCGUGAUGAGCCAGGAUAAGCAAGACUUCAUAGUAAAAGAUCGAAGUGCAGUGUGGAUAGGCGCCAGAAGGACAAAGACGGAUAACAAGUACGCUUGGAUCGAAAAUGACCUUCUACUGGAUGACACCUAUACCAAUUGGAACCCAGGACAGCCAAAUACCGAUUACGAAGAUUGUGUCGUUGCAUAUGUUCCAGGAGGAUGGCAUGACUAUCCCUGUUCACAGCUAUUUAGAUUCGUAUGUGAACUGUGAUUAAUCGACUGAGGAUACACAGUACCUUACACGUGUACAUAUACAUUGAAACCUGUCUAUAAAGAGCAUUUGUCUUUAUGAUAUACUUGAUAAGUUCUUGCAACCACAUUGGUCGAUUCCUAAACAUAUGAACAGUUCUCAAAAACCAAUGAAGACAGGUUUUCCAAUGAAUAUUGAUUCUAAAUAAAGCCUUUAGCGGAAUUUCCUUCCCUUAAACAAUUGUUUGAUAAAAAAAAAA